CACGUAGGAGACGAGCGGUAUCCGGAUUUACUGGGCGUAAAGCGCGUGCAGGCGGUUCGGCAAGUUGGAUGUGAAAGCUCCCGGCUUAACUGGGAGAGGUCGUUCAAUACUACCGGACUUGAGAGUGGUGGAGGGAGGUGGAAUUCCGGGUGUAGUGGUGAAAUGCGUAGAUAUCCGGAGGAACACCAGUGGCGAAAGCGGCCUCCUGGACCACUUCUGACGCUCAGACGCGAAAGCUAGGGUAGCGAACGGG
rnacentral:rRNA from 1 species